CCUGCCCCUAGAGGCAUUGCAGGUGUGGCUUCUGUUGUUGCACGUGCAUCAGUGGGUAGCAGAGAGGAGAGGUUAUGUCUAUGCUCAGUGUUCUGACCUAUGAACAGCUGAAUGAUUAGUAACUAAUAUU